AUGGGAGCAGCGAUAGAUGCUGACGACGAUGAGGAGACAGAUGCGGAUGAUUCAGAGGAGGAGGACAAGGAUGAGGAUGACAAUGAAGAAGAUGCAGAGGAGGAGGAGGAUGAGGAGGAAGAGGAGGAGGAGGAGGAGGAGGAGGACAAACAAGAAGAGGACAAAGGAGAGGAGGAGAACAAGGAAGAAGAUAGUGAUGCAGAGGAGGAGGAAGAAGAAGGUGAGGCCAGAGAGGGGGACGGGGACAAAGGGGCAGCAGUUGAUGGCAGUGAGAGGGGAGAAGACAAAGGCGCAGCAGCUGAUGGCAGUGAGAGGGAAGAAGACGAGGAUGAAGAAGACGAGGAUGAUUAUGGCAUCACAAAGGAGCAAAUGAUGGAGCUACCAGGGAGGCAUUAUUGGGUCUUCAGUGUCAACUUGAGGGACGGACGCUUCGAAGUUCUUGAUUCAAGCAGGACGCUGGACAACAUUGAGCUGAUGAACAACUCCUCUACCAUUGCGGGGGCAGUACGCCAGCUAUGGAGGAAGCAUUACCCAAAGUUCAGCAUCGAGCACUUCCAGAUUAUUGACAUUGACGUACCGAAGCAGCUUGGCAAUAAUGAGUGUGGUUGUUCGCACUGCUUAACGCCACCGAGUGGAAUGGUAGCCAACUGCCCAACUACGACCCCAAGGAAGUACUCAACAUCAGGAAGAAGCUGA
rnacentral:rRNA from 1 species